UACGUAGGGGGCAAGCGUUGUCCGGAAUCAUUGGGCGUAAAGAGCGUGUAGGUGGCUCGGUAAGUCCGCUGUGAAAGUCCAGGGCUCAACCCUGGAAAGCCGGUGGAAACUGUCGAGCUCGAGUCCGGAAGAGGCGAGUGGAAUUCCUGGUGUAGCAGUGAAAUGCGUAGAUAUCGAGAGGAACACCAGUGGCGAAGGCGAGUCCCUGGGCAACUCCUGACGCUGAGGCACGAAAGCUAGGGGAGCAAACAGG
rnacentral:rRNA from 1 species